CACGGGAGACACACGGCGGGUGCUAACGUCCGUCGUGAAGAGGGAAACAACCCAGACCGCCAGCUAAGGUCCCAAAGUCAUGGUUAAGUGGGAAACGAUGUGGGAAGGCCCAGACAGCCAGGAUGUUGGCUUAGAAGCAGCCAUCAUUUAAAGAAAGCGUAAUAGCUCACUGGUCGAGUCGGCCUGCGCGGAAGAUGUAACGGGGCUAAACCAUGCACCGAAGCUGCGGCAGCGAACGUAUCACUUAAAGCGAUUCAGCGGGUUACGAUUGACGGAGCGAAGCGACGUCAAAGCGUAUACAAAGUCGAGUCGGUUUAAGGAUACGUUCGUUGGGUAGGGGAGCGUUCUGUAAGCCCGUGAAGGUGGCCUGUGAGGGUUGCUGGAGGUAUCAGAAGUGCGAAUGCUGACAUAAGUAACGAUAAAGCGGGUGAAAAGCCCGCUCGCCGGAAGACCAAGGGUUCCUGUCCAACGUUAAUCGGGGCAGGGUGAGUCGACCCCUAAGGCGAGGCCGAAAGGCGUAGUCGAUGGGAAACGGGUUAAUAUUCCCGUACUUGGUGUUACUGCGAAGGGGGGACGGAGAAGGCUAUGUUGGCCGGGCGACGGUUGUCCCGGUUUAAGCGUGUAGGUGUGUGUUCCAGGUAAAUCCGGUUCACUUUAACACUGAGGCGUGACGACGAGGCACUACGGUGCUGAAGCAACAAAUGCCCUGCUUCCAGGAAAAGCCUCUAAGCAUCAGGUAACACGAAAUCGUACCCCAAACCGACACAGGUGGUCAGGUAGAGAAUACCAAGGCGCUUGAGAGAACUCGGGUGAAGGAACUAGGCAAAAUGGUGCCGUAACUUCGGGAGAAGGCACGCUGACACGUAGGUGAAGUGAUUUACUCAUGGAGCUGAAGUCAGUCGAAGAUACCAGCUGGCUGCAACUGUUUAUUAAAAACACAGCACUGUGCAAACACGAAAGUGGACGUAUACGGUGUGACGCCUGCCCGGUGCCGGAAGGUUAAUUGAUGGGGUCAGCGCAAGCGAAGCUCCUGAUCGAAGCCCCGGUAAACGGCGGCCGUAACUAUAACGGUCCUAAGGUAGCGAAAUUCCUUGUCGGGUAAGUUCCGACCUGCACGAAUGGCGUAAUGAU
rnacentral:rRNA from 1 species